GUCUUCUCAGGACCAUAAACCCCACGAAUUUCCACUUCUCGCCAUUCUUGCACAAGGGCACAGCAACAACACAUCAAAUGAGAGAGAAAAUCAUCAACAAAUCCUCCCGUGAUAUUCAACCUUUUGCGGAGCUUUCUUCUGAUGCAGCAAGUGUAGCAACAACAUGACAGUAUCAAUGAAUAUGCCAUCAAUUCAUUACAUGCUUCAGCUGAAGACAUGUGUCUAUUGGUUGCCACAGUAGCAAUCUUUGAGAAUGUCCCACAAGGAUAGAAGAAUGUCUUCAGACACAGAGAGGGUUCUGAACAACAACCAAGUAAAUCACUAUGCCAUUCUUCAUGCUGAUAUGAGUUUCUAUGUGAGAGCAGAUCAUCUCCUGAUGAAAAUGAGGAUGCAUUUCUUGAAGUCUUACGAGAAUCACUUUUCUUGGGAUAGUUUUCAUCAAAUGAAUGAUUCUCACUAACAUCUGAAUUAUUGGGCUCCAGUUUCUUGGAUGCUUUUAUGGGUGAACUCUUCUGUGGAAGAGAAUUUGCAGCAGCAGCAGCUUCUGUGACAUCAAUCAAACGUUGGAUAACUUCACAUUGGUUUACAUCCAAAUUAGCUUGUGAUCGUUGUAGUUCAAGCUGAAGUUUCUGAUUUUCCUUUUGAAGAGCUUCAUUAAAACCCAAGUUUGGGUAUGAACAAGAAAGAGUUUUUUUCAACACCAUUGUCUGAUCUUUCAAGGGUUCUGGUUUCAAGAUCACAUCUUGCACCUUUCUAUCCUCUUCAUCAAAUGUAUACUCAUGUUGAUCCUUUUGAAUAUCUUCCAGUCUCUCCCUGACACGAGCGUUAUCCACGAGACUAAUGAGAGGAACUAGCCGCAAGUACCGGUCGAUCUCA
rnacentral:misc_RNA from 1 species